GCCUUAUAGUAUAUACCCAACAAUUACAGUAAACUGCAACUUUACCAAAGCCAAUCGCUAAGGCA
rnacentral:tRNA from 1 species